rnacentral:rRNA from 1 species
UACGUAGGUGGCGAGCGUUGUCCGGAUUUAUUGGGCGUAAAGCGAGCGCAGGUGGUUUAUUAAGUCUGGUGUAAAAGGCAGUGGCUCAACCAUUGUAUGCAUUGGAAACUGGUAGACUUGAGUGCAGGGGAGGAGAGUGGAAUUCCAUGUGUAGCGGUGAAAUGCGUAGAUAUAUGGAGGAACACCGGUGGCGAAAGCGGCUCUCUGGCCUGUAACUGACACUGAGGCUCGAAAGCGUGGGGAGCAAACAGG